rnacentral:lncRNA from 1 species
CUAAAGUUUUCGUGAUCUGACCUAAAAUUCUCGUAACCCAAUAGGAGUAAGCCAGGAUGUAGGUGCCUAGACGGAUCAGGAUGUAGGCACCUACAUCUGGGUGUGCCUACAACCCAGUAGGCACCUCCAUCUGGGUUGUUUUCUGAUUUUAGGUGACUACAUCCGAUCCUAUUUUAGGCGGCUUCUUCCCUCACUUUUAUAUAUUUUCAAAUCAUCGAAUUAGUUCGAAAUAUCCACUCCUUCAUCUUCUUUUCCUUUCGUUCCUCUCAGAAUCCCUAGCUCUUAUCUUCACAACCAUCUCCACUCACGUCUUAAAUCCAAACGAAAAAUCUCCUUCUCAAGCUAAAAAGCUCCGCCAUCUCCUUCUCGGCCAAUGGCUCCGAAGAUGCAUCUUCUCUCCAACGCCAAAGAGCAAGCAGAAAGGGAGAAGAAAGCAAAAGGGGAAGGAGAAGAGAAGCAAACGAAGCAUCAUCACCUCCUCCUUCAAGAUCACCUCCUCCGAGAACUCCUUUAAGAUCACCUCCUCUGAGAACUCCGGUAAGUGAUAAAAAUAUUCUCUCCAGCUGUAUUGUUGAUAUGAACUUUUUAGAUUUGGAGAGAUUUGAGAUUGCAAACUUAAUCAGAGCCAUAGGAUGAAAAUUUAUUCGCACUGCUGAAGCUCCAAUAUUUAUGAAGUUAGAAAAUUUUAUGAGAAUAUUUCAUUUGAAGAACAUACCGUAUCAUCUUCAGUUAAGG